rnacentral:pre_miRNA from 1 species
CUCGGGGGAGGGGGGGUCCCUCAGCCUGGAUUGCGAGAGGGCACAGGCCAGGCCGAGGUACCCCGCCGGUGAUCGGG